rnacentral:rRNA from 1 species
AUUGAACGCUGGCGGCAUGCCUUACACAUGCAAGUCGAACGGUAACGGGCCUUCGGGUGCCGACGAGUGGCGAACGGGUGAGUAAUGUAUCGGAACGUACCUUUCAGGGGGGGAUAACGUAGCAAAAGUUACGCUAAUACCGCACAUUCUGUGAGCAGGAAAGCAGGGGAACGCAAGACCUUGGGCCGAUUGAGCGGGCGAUGUCAGAUUAGCUAGAUGGUGAGGUAAAGGCUCACCAAGGCGACGAUGUGGAGCGGGUCUGAGAGGAUGAUCCGCCACACUGGAACUGAGACACGGUCCAGACUCCUACGGGAGGCAGCAGUGGGGAAUUUUGGACAAUGGGGGCAACCCUGAUCCAGCCAUGCCGCGUGAGUGAAGAAGGCCUUCGGGUUGUAAAGCUCUUUCGGCCGGGAAGAAAUCGUAUGGGCUAAUACCCUGUGCGGAUGACGGUACCGGCAUAAGAAGCACCGGCUAACUACGUGCCAGCAGCCGCGGUAAAAA